GUAAAAUGAGCAGCAUAACAAACCUAACAAGCGUUUUGUUGAUCUAAAUGACUGCAAUUUUAUACUGAUCUUAAACAAUUAAGCCUUAGUUCUGUUAAUGCAUGCAUGUCUGAUGUCUCCAAUUAAAGUGCUACUAAAGCCGAAAAAUAAAGUUCCUAUCAUUUUUGUAUCUGCGCGAAGCGUAGUUUUCCUCGCAGACGCUCUUAGUCUUAUAGCUCCAAAAUUCUCCUAGUCUGAUCUCAGAUCCUCUUAGUGGGCUCUAGCGAAUCCCACACGAGGGUCUGAUGACAUUCAUACAACAUUCCUUUUUCAUGUGUUGACCAAUUGCAAAAUCAUCGUAUUCAAAACAAAGUUAUCAUCUACCAGAAAGAAGUUUCCUGUAUGUAAAGUUGUACAACACAAGGAUUGGGCUGGCUUAUACUGCACUACGAGAAAGUGCCUCUGUUACCUGCAGAGAAGAAACGAAGUGCAGUCAAAGUUUUGGAUGUUAAAUCUGUGGAAACUAGGGACAUAAACGCAAACUCCUGCUAACGGAAGACGGAACUGUGUAUAAAGUCAAUUAGCGAUCUAAGCUGGACAAUGUGUUUAAAAACUGUUUAUUUAUGCAACAGAAUCGAG